rnacentral:miRNA from 1 species
CGGCCGGUAAUGGAAUGAAUGC